rnacentral:lncRNA from 12 species
CUGAGUGACCUUUGCAUGGGGAUGGGUCAGUGCUGACCACUGAGUGACCAUUGCAUGGGGGAGAGGUCAGUGCUGACCGUUGCUGACCGCUGAGUGACCACUGGGAUGGGGAGGGGUCAGUGCUGACCACCAGUGGUCACUCAGCACCUCGCUGACUACCAGUGGUCACUCAGCACCUCGCUGACCAUCAGUGGUCACUCCAGGCCUGACUGACCACCGGUGGUCACUCAGGGCCUCGCUGACCACCAGUGGUCACUCAGCACCUCACUGACCACCAGUGGUCACUCCAGGCCUGACUGACCACCGGUGGUCACUCAGGGCCUCGCUGACCACCGGUGUCCGGCACGGGUUCGAGGCCGUGGGCGUGGUCCGAGUGUCCGGCCGGACGUUGGCCAUGGAGGCGGCGCUGGAGGUGGCCGCAGUGGCCGGAGCCCAGGACGUGGUGGCCGAGGACGAGGACGGGGCCGAGCUCAAGUGGUCAUUGGUCACUUCCUGACUGUCCUUGCUGACCACUGACCACCCUCAAUGACCACUGACCAUCCCACUGACCAUCCCACUGACCACCCCCAUGACCACUUGCCCACCCCCCUGACCACUGACCACCCCAAUGACCACUGACCAAUACACUGACCAUCCCACUGACCAAUGACCACUGACCAUCCUGACUGACCACUGACCAUCCCACUGACCCUUGUCCACCCAAAAUGACCACUUGCCCACCCCACUGACCACUGACCACCCCAAUGACCAUUGAUCAUUCCAAAUGACCACUGACCAUCCCAGUGACCACUGACCACCCUGACUGACCACUGACCACCCCAAUGACCACUUGCCCACCCCCCUGACCACUGACCACCCCAAUUACCACUGACCAAUGGCCACUGACCACCCCAAAUGACCACUUACUCCUCCCAAUGACCACUGACCACCCCAAUGACCAUUGAUCCUUCCAAAUGACCACUGACCAUCCCGACUGACCACUGACCACCCUCAAUGACCACUGACCAUCCCACUGACCAAUGACCACGGGGGGGGGGGGGGGGGGGGGGGGGGGGGGGGGGGGGGGGGGGGGGGGGGG